CUUGGUCAUUUAGAGGAAGUAAAAGUCGUAACAAGGUUUCCGUAGGUGAACCUGCGGAAGGAUCAUUAUGAAUUAAAAAUAUUUGUGAAUUUACCACAACAAACAAAAAUACUAUAGUCAAAACAAAAAUAAUUAAAACUUUUAACAAUGGAUCUCUUGGUUCUCGUAUCGAUGAAGAACGCAGCGAAACGCGAUAUUUCUUGUGAAUUGCAGAAGUGAAUCAUCAGUUUUUGAACGCACAUUGCACUUUGGGGUAUCCCCCAAAGUAUACUUGUUUGAGCGUUGUUUCUCUCUUGGAAUUGCUUUGCUCUUCUAAAAUUUCGAAUCAAAUUCGUUUGAAAAACAACACUAUUCAACCUCAGAUCAAGUAGGAUUACCCGCUGAACUUAAGCAUAUCAAUAAGCGGAGGAAAAGAAACCAACAGGGAUUGCCUUAGUAACGGCGAGUGAAGCGGCAAAAGCUCAAAUUUGAAAUCGGCCCCCAGGUCGAGUUGUAAUUUGUAGAUUGUAUCUUGAGAGCGGAUUAAAGUCUGUUGGAACACAGCGCCUUAGAGGGUGACAGCCCCGUAAAAUCUAUUCUCAUUGUAAGAUACUUUCGAAGAGUCGAGUUGUUUGGGAAU
rnacentral:sRNA from 1 species